rnacentral:rRNA from 1 species
AUGGCUUUGAAGCCUUGCAUCGAUGGGUUCAAAGCAGGGUGCCGUCCAUAUUUGAGCAUAGACUCAUCAUUUUUGACAGGCAAGUGGAAUGGUCAGUUGGCAGCAUGCAAUGCUCUAGAUGGACACAACUGGAUGUUUCCUAUUGCUGUUGGCUUGUUUCAGUCAGAAACAGAGGCUUCAUGGACAUGGUUCUUGAUCCAGUUGAAAAGAUGCCUAGGGCCAGUGUCACCUUUGGCUAUACACACAGAUGCAUGUAAGGGGCUUGAAAAUUCAGUGAAAAUGUUUUCCCACAUGCUGAGCAGAGGGAGUGCUUCGGUCAUUUGUGGAUGA